rnacentral:rRNA from 1 species
UACGUAGGGGGCGAGCGUUGUCCGGAGUUACUGGGCGUAAAGGGCACGCAGGCGGUGCGGCGCGUUUCGCGUGACAGCGGAGGGCUCAACUACCCGAGGAUGCGAAAGACGGCGGCACUUGAGGGCCAGAGAGGGACACGGAAUUCCGGGUGGAGUGGUGAAAUGCGUAGAGAUCCGGAGGAACACCGAAGGCGAAGGCAGUGUCCUGGCUGGUGACUGACGCUGAGGUGCGAAAGCUAGGGGAGCGAACGGG